rnacentral:rRNA from 1 species
UACGAAGGGGGCUAGCGUUGCUCGGAAUCACUGGGCGUAAAGCGCACGUAGGCGGACUCUUAAGUCGGUGGUGAAAUCCUGGAGCUCAACUCCAGAACUGCCUUCGAUACUGAGAGUCUCGAGUCCGGGAGAGGUGAGUGGAACUGCGAGUGUAGAAGUGAAAUUCGUAGAUAUUCGCAAGAACACCAGUGGCGAAGGCGGCUCACUGGCCCGGUACUGACGCUGAGGUGCGAAAGCGUGGGGAGCAAACAGG